UACGGAGGGUGCAAGCGUUAUCCAGAUUCACUGGGUUUAAAGGGUGCGUAGGUGGGCAGGUAAGUCCGUGGUGAAAUCCCUGAGCUUAACUCGGGAACUGCCAUGGAUACUAUUUGUCUUGAAUAUUGUGGAGGUAAGCGGAAUAUGUCAUGUAGCGGUGAAAUGCUUAGAUAUGACAUAGAACACCAAUUGCGAAGGCAGCUUACUACACAGUUAUUGACACUGAGGCACGAAAGCGUGGGGAUCAAACAGG
rnacentral:rRNA from 1 species